GACGAACGCUGGCGGCGUGCCUAAUACAUGCAAGUCGAGCGCAGGAAAUCGACGGAACCCUUCGGGGGGAAGUUGAUGGAAUGAGCAGCGGACGGGUGAGUAACACGUAAAGAACCUGCCCUCAGGUCUGGGAUAACCACGAGAAAUCGGGGCUAAUACCGGAUGGGUCAUCGGACCGCAUGGUCCGAGGAUGAAAGGCGCUUCGGCGUCGCCUGGGGAUGGCUUUGCGGUGCAUUAGCUAGUUGGUGGGGUAAUGGCCCACCAAGGCGACGAUGCAGAGCCGACCUGAGAGGGUGAUCGGCCACACUGGGACUGAGACACGGCCCAGACUCCUACGGGAGGCAGCAGUAGGGAAUCUUCCACAAUGGACGAAAGUCUGAUGGAGCAACGCCGCGUGAACGAUGAAGGCCUUCGGGUCGUAAAGUUCUGUUGUAAGGGAAGAACAAGUGCCGCAGGCAAUGGCGGCACCUUGACGGUACCUUGCGAGAAAGCCACGGCUAACUACGUGCCAGCCGCCACGGUAAUAC
rnacentral:rRNA from 1 species